rnacentral:rRNA from 1 species
CAAUAGCGUAUAUUUAAGUUGUUGCAGUUAAAAAGCUCGUAGUUGGAUUUCGGUUAAGAGCGACCGGUCCGCCGUUUGGUGUGCACUGGUUGGUUUUAACUUCCUGUAGAGGACGUGCUCUGGGUUUAACGACCUGGACUCGGAGUCUACGUGGUUACUUUGAAAAAAUUAGAGUGUUCAAAGCGGGCUUACGCUUGAAUAUUUCAGCAUGGAAUAACACUAUAGGACUCCUAUCCUAUUUCGUUGGUCUCGGGACGGGAGUAAUGACUAAGAGGAACAGUUGGGGGCAUUCGUAUUUCAUUGUCAGAGGUGAAAUUCUUGGAUUUAUGAAAGACGAACCUCUGCGAAAGCAUUUGCCAAGGAUGUUUNCAUUA